UGAAUACGAGAUGCUACGGCGUCGAAGCAGUCUAUGUCAUACUUCCAAGAAAAGCUUGCACUGUCAUAAACAAAUAAUGCCUGUACCAUAACCGACACAGGUGGGUAGGUAGAGUAUACUAAGGGGCGCGAGAUAACUCUCUCUAAGGAACUCGGCAAAAUGACUCCGUAACUUCGGGAGAAGGAGUGCCUUAUUUUAUAAGGUUGCAAUAACAAGAUCCAAGCAACUGUUUACCAAAAACACAGGUCUCCGCUAAGUCGUAAGACGAUGUAUGGGGGCUGACGCCUGCCCAGUGCCAGAAGGUUAAAGAAGUUGGUUAGCAUCCGCGAAGCUGAUAACUGAAGCCCUGGUGAACGGCGGCCGUAACUAUAACGGUCCUAAGGUAGCGAAAUUCCUUGUCGGGUAAGUUCCGACCCGCACGAAAGGCGUAAUGAUUUGGAUACUGUCUCAGAGAGGGGCUCGGUGAAAUAGACUUGUCUGUGAAGAUGCGGACUACCUGCACCAGGACAGAAAGACCCUAUGAAGCUUUACUGUAACUUGAAAUUGAAAUUGGACUUUACUUGCGCAGUAUAGGUGGGAGGCGUUGAGAAUAUUCUUGCGGGAAUGUUGGAGCCAUCAGUGAGAUACCACUCUUGUAAUGUUAGAUUUCUAACUUUGUAUCAUUAUCUGGUCAAAGGACAGUUUCAGGCGGGCAGUUUGACUGGGGCGGUCGCCUCCCAAACGGUAACGGAGGCGCACAAAGGUUUCCUCUGAACGGGUAGAAAUCGUAUCUAGAGUGUAAAGGCAUAAGGAAGCUUGACUGUGAGACCUACAAGUCGAGCAGGGACGAAAGUCGGUCUUAGUGAUCUGACGGUGCUGAGUGGAAAGGCCGUCACUCAACGGAUAAAAGUUACUCUAAGGAUAACAGGCUGAUCUCCCCCAAGAGUUCACAUCGACGGGGAGGUUUGGCACCUCGAUGUCGGCUCAUCGCAUCCUGGGGCGGUAGUACGUCCCAAGGGUUGGGCUGUUCGCCCAUGAAAGCGGUACGCGAGCUGGGUUCAGAACGUCGUGAGACAGUUCGGUCCAUAUCCGGUGUAGGCGUUAGAAUAUUGAGAGGAGCCUUCUUUAGUACGAGAGGACCGAGAAGGACAUACCUCUGGUGUACCAGUUAUCGUGCCAACGGUAAACGCUGGGUAGCUAUGUAUGGAGUGGAUAACCGCUGAAAGCAUCUAAGUGGGAAGCCCACCUCAAGAUAAG
rnacentral:rRNA from 1 species